GUGUAAACCCCUGCAGUGUGCCCGAUGUGCAGCNAAUGGCCUAUUAGACCCCUUCCGUAGUGGGUACAGGUGGGUGGGGCUCCAUGCAAGCAAACAUUGGCACAACAGCUGUUGGAAGCCAUCCAAACAGACGUGUGCUCUGAAUUCCUCGUAGGAACACAGGCAGCACCCAGAGGGCUGACCAGCAGAGUGCGCAUGGAGAUGGCAGAGGUCCGUGCCAGAGAGAAGGAGCAUGCAUAUGCAGGAGGCGCACACCAUGCUCAGAGUCGGGAAUCUGCGGAUAUUGAGGAGCAGGCAGAAUCCCGGGAGUGGACAGAGGAUGAGGAGGACCACGAUGGCGACGAAGAGGAGCAGCUGCUGCACCUGGACGAGGAGGAGGGGCCAGGAGAUGCUGGCGAGGAGGAUGUCGGAACUGUGCGCUCAGCCACUGAACCCGACGCAGCAUGUCCAGGCGCCGUGGAGAGAGAGCAACCGCAGCCCAGGUCUCCUGAGCCUCCAGGUGCUGCUGCAAGAUAUGCUGCCCCUGGCGUCCGCCUGCUGCAACGGCAGAUGCGGGACAAGAAAAGGAGCGUCCUGGAUAUGCUGGAGAGGACCCUGCAGCUGUACAAGAGGGAGUUGCCUCUUAUCCGGGACACGACGCAUGAGAUCGCCUCUGGGCUUUCUAGGUCACUAGGGGAGGCGACAGCAGGGCUGCGGGCAUAUGACGAGAGAGAGAGACGGGAAACGCUGGCCUGGUGCCAGCAGGUCUCGCAAGGCAUACAGGAGAUCCUGGGCAGAAUGGAUCAGCUCGCCAUCUGCCGUGAGCAACACAUGACACCAGGAGGAUGAGAGCACACUGCACAUGGAGCUACUGGGGUGGAAGGGUCCUCCAUUGCAGGUGUGCCCAUUGGGCGAGUGGCCAGCCCUGGCCUACCAGCAGCAGCUGUUCCCGCAGCGGGGCAUGAGCAGGGCAUGGGGGAGCCACGACACUGGCUGGAAAGCGCGACAGAGAAGGAGGGGCACGUGAGGCAGACAGGCUCCCUCAAGCGUCAGCGCAAGUCCCGGCAGCCCUACUCACCAUGAAGGGUGCGCUGGUUGGCCUGCCAGCGACCAGUGGCUAUGCACUAACAUGCCUGACAUGCACAUGUGGCUCUACACCCGGGUUAGCUGGGGGACGUGGGCACAUGUGGGUGUCACAGGGUGCUUGGCAGGGUGGGUAGUGCUGUGGUGCUGGUGAGGGGAGGGGAGGGAGAAACACCACNGCGCAGACACAUGGC
ensembl:lncRNA